AAAUGUUGUGGGUUUAGAUUCAGUUUGGGGAUUCAUAGUCUACUAGCAUACCAUUUUGUGCCAGGGGUGAGCUAAAUUUUCCAUUGUGUGUAGCCACUUGUUACUUUAUGAAUUUUAAUUAUUGAAAUUGUGAAUUAAUUAGGGAGCUUUUUUGUCUUAUGACAAUACAAGAUAUCUUUUAUUGUACACUGAUUUUCACACUGUAGUAUAUUUGUGAGAUAUAGUGGACAACCUGUAUAGUACAUUCAUUAUUUUUCAAGUGUUGCAGCGCUCUUGUGUCUUUGGUUUGGGAGCUAGCAGCUGUGCUCGCCAGGUGUUUGACGACAUUCCACAUUUCCAUGGGGCAGGAGAAAGGAUAACUAACGUAUUAUGGAACCAGGGAUCAAGUUUUACCGUUGGCACUGCAGAGCUUUAUUAGUGAGGGCUUUGCUGUGGAUAUACAUCCAGCUGCCAAAAUCGGUGAGGGAAUAUAGUUGGAUCAUUGAACAGGUCUAGUCAUUGGUGAAACUGCUAUAUUUAGAAAUUGGGUUUCAUUAAUGCAGUGUGAUGGCUGACUCCACCUCCUGACGGGUUGAGGCAUUGCAUGAGAUCUCAAGGCAUUUGUACUCGAUGAGAAGGUGAAAGGUCUGAGAACUCGAGGAGCAGGCAAAGCUCUGAACAAGGCAUCGGGCGACUGGAAUAGGAGGUCUGCAAAAGGAGUAGAGUUCAUCAGUUGAGGGAAGGGACAACUCAAGUAAAGAAUGUUCAUCUUACAAUUUACUAUGCUUUGUCUCAUAUUUGUUUAUGUUAGGAUUCCUCAUGCUCCUUUCUUCAGUUUAGUUGUUCACCAUGUAAUUUCAUACCUAGGUUAACUGAAUACUUCAAUAUUCAUGCUUUA